GAGGACAUAGCUCAGUGGUAGAGUGUGUGCUUAGCAUGCAUGAGGCCCUGGGUUCAAUCCCCAGUACCUUCA
rnacentral:tRNA from 1 species